rnacentral:tRNA from 1 species
GGAGUUGUUGCUCAGUAGUUAGAGCACCUGCCUAGCACAUGUGAGGCCCUGAGUUCAAUUCUCAGCACCA